GCCGGGCGUGGUGGCUCACGCCUGUAAUCCCUGCACUUUGGGAGGCUGAGGUGGGUGGAUCACCUGAGGUCAGGAGUUCGAGGCCAGCCUGACCAACAUGAUGAAACCCCAUCUCUA
ensembl:misc_RNA Metazoa_SRP Metazoan signal recognition particle RNA